AGCAGCCGCGGUAAUUCCAGCUCCAAUAGCGUAUAUUAAAGUUGUUGACAGUUAAAAAGCUCGUAGUUGAAUUUCGGGGUCAGUAGGUUGGUCAUGCCUCCGGUAUGUACUGGUCUCACUGAUUCCUCCUUCCUGAUGAGCCGUAAUGCCAUUAAUUUGGUGUUGCGGGGAAUCUGGACUGUUACUUGAAAAAUUGAGUGUUUAAAGCAAGCUAACGCUUGAAUACAUUAGCAUGGAAUAAUGGAAUAGGACGUUCGAUCCUAUUUUGUUGGUUCUAGGAUUGACGUAAUGAUUAAUAGGGAUAGUUGGGGGCAUUAGUAUUCAAUUGUCAGAGGUGAAAUUCUU
rnacentral:rRNA from 1 species